CAACAGGGAUUGCCCUAGUAACGGCGAGUGAAGCGGCAACAGCUCAAAUUUGAAAUCUGGCUCUCUUUGGGGGUCCGAGUUGUAAUUUGCAGAGGAUGCUUUGGCAUUGGCGGCGGUCUAAGUUCCUUGGAACAGGACAUCACAGAGGGUGAGAAUCCCGUACGUGGUCGCCUGCCUUUGCCGUGUAAAGCUCCUUCGACGAGUCGAGUUGUUUGGGAAUGCAGCUGUAAAUGGGAGGUAAAUUUCUUCUAAAGCUAAAUACUGGCCAGAGACCGAUAGCGCACAAGUAGAGUGAUCGAAAGAUGAAAAGUACUUUGGAAAGAGAGUCAAAAAGCACGGGAAAUUGUUGAAAGGGAAGCGCUUGCAGCCAGACUUGCCCGCAGUUGCUCACCUAGGCUUUGGCCUGGGGCACUCUUCUGCGGGCAGGCCAGCAUCAGUUUGGGCGGUUGGAUAAAGGCCUCUGUCACGUAUCUCCCUUCGGGGUGACCUUAUAGGGGAGGCGCAAUGCAACCAGCCCGGACUGAGGUCCGCGCAUCUGCUAGGAUGCUGGCGUAAUGGCUGUAAGCGGCCCGUCUUGAAACACGGACCAAGGAGUCUAACAUCUAUGCGAGUGUUUGGGUGUCAAGCCCGAGCGCGCAAUGAAAGUGAACGGAGGUGGGAACCCUUUGGGUGCACCAUCGACCGAUCCUGAUGUCUUCGGAUGGAUUUGAGUAAGAGCAUAGCUGUUGGGACCCGAAAGAUGGUGAACUAUGCUUGAAUAGGGUGAAGCCAGAGGAAACUCUGGUGGAGGCUCGCAGCGGUUCUGACGUGCAAAUCGAUCGUCAAAUUUGGGCAUAGGGGCGAAAGACUAAUCGAACCAUCUAGUA
rnacentral:rRNA from 1 species